rnacentral:rRNA from 1 species
UACGGGGGGAGCAAGCGUUGUUCGGAAUUACUGGGCGUAAAGCGCGUGUAGGCGGUCUCGCAAGUCGGGUGUGAAAGCCCCGGGCUCAACCCGGGAAGUGCAUUCGAUACUGCGAGGCUAGAGUCCCGGAGAGGAUGGUGGAACUCUCGGUGUAGAGGUGAAAUUCGUAGAUAUCGAGAAGAACACCGGUGGCGAAGGCGGCCAUCUGGACGGUGACUGACGCUGAGACGCGAAAGCGUGGGGAGCAAACAGG